AAGUCCCUCUCUUUCUCCCUCCGCCCCCCCUACGCUUUCUCUACAAUGGUACAGUCCGCUCUCUGAAGUUUUAUGUAGCGCGAGCAGCUUAGCGCGUUCCUGAAUCCGGGUUUGGGUUCCUUGUAGCCUGUGAGCGUUUACCUCAGACGCGUGAAACAGUUUGUCAGUCGGUUCGUGUUAAAGUUUACUUCAGUAUCAGAAACCGACUUUGUUUGAUGGAAGGUCAAGAAAUCUGGCACCUACUAGACUCCACUAUCCAUUCCUCUGUCCAUCCUCUAUCCAUUCCUCUAUCCAUCCUCCAUCCAUCUGGAAGGGGGUGUGGAGUCUCUCCACACUGCAGAUGUGUUUGAGAUGGAAAUGGCGGGAAGAAGGCGAGCUCGUGCCGAUGAGAAGUGACGGGAAAGAGCAUGUGAUGAUAAACAAAUAAACAAUUAAAAAAAAGAAAAAACAAACAAAAAGGAAUAAAAUCAUGCGGUCACAUGCCGUCGCUUGUUUUUACUCACGGUUAUUUCCGUUCUAAUCUCGAGCUUUAAUCUCUGAACGCGGAACUGAAACACGUGAGACCCCCGGUCUUGCGUCACGUGCGCGAUCCGGUGCACCGCGCGCGGAGGCUGUGACGCAAAGUUGCACCUACUUUCUUUCUUUGUUUUUCUUUCUUUCUUUUCCCCCUUUCUUUCUCGUGUGCGCUCACAGGCGUUGGUGGGGUGUUAAUUUCAUCCAGAGCGAAAGUGAUGAUGCUCAGGUCUAAACUUGCAGAGCAACCUGAAGAGCUCGCGCGCGUUCCAGAUAAUCACGGACACCGAGAAGCUCGCGCGGAGGUGUU